rnacentral:rRNA from 1 species
GAUUAAGUUAUUAAGGGCGCACGGUGGAUGCCUUGGCACUAGAAGCCGAUGAAGGACGUUACUAACGACGAUAUGCUUUGGGGAGCUGUAAGUAAGCUUUGAUCCAGAGAUUUCCGAAUGGGGAAACCCAGCAUGAGUUAUGUCAUGUUAUCGAUAUGUGAAUACAUAGCAUAUCAGAAGGCACACCCGGAGAACUGAAACAUCUUAGUACCCGGAGGAAGAGAAAGAAAAUUCGAUUCCCUUAGUAGCGGCGAGCGAAACGGGAGAGCCCAAACCAACAAGCUUGCUUGUUGGGGUUGUAGGACACUCUAUACGGAGUUACAAAGGACGACAUUAGACGAAUCAUCUGGAAAGAUGAAUCAAAGAAGGUAAUAAUCCUGUAGUCGAAAAUGUUGUCUCUCUUGAGUGGAUCCUGAGUAUGACGGAGCACGUGAAAUUCCGUCGGAAUCUGGGAGGACCAUCUCCUAAGGCUAAAUACUCUCUAGUGACCGAUAGUGAACCAGUACCGUGAGGGAAAGGUGAAAAGCACCCCGGAAGGGGAGUGAAAUAGAACCUGAAACCGUGUGCUUACAAGUAGUCAGAGCCCGUUAAUGGGUGAUGGCGUGCCUUUGUAGAAUGAACCGGCGAGUUACGAUUUGAUGCAAGGUUAAGCAGUAAAUGUGGAGCCGUAGCGAAAGCGAGUCUGAAUAGGGCGUUUAGUAUUUGGUCGUAGACCCGAAACCAGGUGAUCUACCCUUGGUCAGGUUGAAGUUCAGGUAACACUGAAUGGAGGACCGAACCGACUUACGUUGAAAAGUGAGCGGAUGAACUGAGGGUAGCGGAGAAAUUCCAAUCGAACCUGGAGAUAGCUGGUUCUCUCCGAAAUAGCUUUAGGGCUAGCCUCAAGUGAUGAUUAUUGGAGGUAGAGCACUGUUUGGACGAGGGGCCCCUCUCGGGUUACCGAAUUCAGACAAACUCCGAAUGCCAAUUAAUUUAACUUGGGAGUCAGAACAUGGGUGAUAAGGUCCAUGUUCGAAAGGGAAACAGCCCAGACCACCAGCUAAGGUCCCAAAAUAUAUGUUAAGUGGAAAAGGAUGUGGCGUUGCCCAGACAACUAGGAUGUUGGCUUAGAAGCAGCCAUCAUUUAAAGAGUGCGUAAUAGCUCACUAGUCGAGUGACACUGCGCCGAAAAUGUACCGGGGCUAAACAUAUUACCGAAGCUGUGGAUUGUCCUUUGGACAAUGGUAGGAGAGCGUUCUAAGGGCGUUGAAGCAUGAUCGUAAGGACAUGUGGAGCGCUUAGAAGUGAGAAUGCCGGUGUGAGUAGCGAAAGACGGGUGAGAAUCCCGUCCACCGAUUGACUAAGGUUUCCAGAGGAAGGCUCGUCCGCUCUGGGUUAGUCGGGUCCUAAGCUGAGGCCGACAGGCGUAGGCGAUGGAUAACAGGUUGAUAUUCCUGUACCACCUAUAAUCGUUUUAAUCGAUGGGGGGACGCAGUAGGAUAGGCGAAGCGUGCGAUUGGAUUGCACGUCUAAGCAGUAAGGCUGAGUAUUAGGCAAAUCCGGUACUCGUUAAGGCUGAGCUGUGAUGGGAGAAGACAUUGUGUCUUCGAGUCGUUGAUUUCACACUGCCGAGAAAAGCCUCUAGAUAGAAAAUAGGUGCCCGUACCGCAAACCGACACAGGUAGUCAAGAUGAGAAUUCUAAGGUGAGCGAGCGAACUCUCGUUAAGGAACUCGGCAAAAUGACCCCGUAACUUCGGGAGAAGGGGUGCUCUUUAGGGUUAACGCCCAGAAGAGCCGCAGUGAAUAGGCCCAAGCGACUGUUUAUCAAAAACACAGGUCUCUGCUAAACCGUAAGGUGAUGUAUAGGGGCUGACGCCUGCCCGGUGCUGGAAGGUUAAGAGGAGUGGUUAGCUUCUGCGAAGCUACGAAUCGAAGCCCCAGUAAACGGCGGCCGUAACUAUAACGGUCCUAAGGUAGCGAAAUUCCUUGUCGGGUAAGUUCCGACCCGCACGAAAGGCGUAACGAUUUGGGCACUGUCUCAACGAGAGACUCGGUGAAAUCAUAGUACCUGUGAAGAUGCAGGUUACCCGCGACAGGACGGAAAGACCCCGUGGAGCUUUACUGUAGCCUGAUAUUGAAAUUCGGCACAGCUUGUACAGGAUAGGUAGGAGCCUUUGAAACGUGAGCGCUAGCUUACGUGGAGGCGCUGGUGGGAUACUACCCUAGCUGUGUUGGCUUUCUAACCCGCACCACUUAUCGUGGUGGGAGACAGUGUCAGGCGGGCAGUUUGACUGGGGCGGUCGCCUCCUAAAAGGUAACGGAGGCGCUCAAAGGUUCCCUCAGAAUGGUUGGAAAUCAUUCAUAGAGUGUAAAGGCAUAAGGGAGCUUGACUGCGAGACCUACAAGUCGAGCAGGGUCGAAAGACGGACUUAGUGAUCCGGUGGUUCCGCAUGGAAGGGCCAUCGCUCAACGGAUAAAAGCUACCCCGGGGAUAACAGGCUUAUCUCCCCCAAGAGUUCACAUCGACGGGGAGGUUUGGCACCUCGAUGUCGGCUCAUCGCAUCCUGGGGCUGUAGUCGGUCCCAAGGGUUGGGCUGUUCGCCCAUUAAAGCGGUACGCGAGCUGGGUUCAGAACGUCGUGAGACAGUUCGGUCCCUAUCCGUCGUGGGCGUAGGAAAUUUGAGAGGAGCUGUCCUUAGUACGAGAGGACCGGGAUGGACAUACCUCUGGUGUACCAGUUGUCGUGCCAACGGCAUAGCUGGGUAGCUAUGUGUGGACGGGAUAAGUGCUGAAAGCAUCUAAGCAUGAAGCCCCCCUCAAGAUGAGAUUUCCCAACUUCGGUUAUAAGAUCCCUCAAAGAUGAUGAGGUUAAUAGGUUCGAGGUGGAAGCAUGGUGACAUGUGGAGCUGACGAAUACUAAUCGAUCGAAGACUUAAUCAA